rfam:Brachypodium distachyon strain Bd21 chromosome 3, whole genome shotgun sequence.
UUUAUACUACCUCCGUCCAAUAAAAGAUGUCUCAAAUUUGUCAAAAUUUGGAUGUAUGUAGACAUGACUUAGUGUAUAGAUGCAUUCAAAUUUAGUCAAAGUUGAGACAUCCUUUGUUAGACGGAGGGAGUAUAAU